GAUGAACGCUGGCGGCGUGCCUAAUACAUGCAAGUCGAGCGAACAGACGAGGCGCUUGCUCCUCUGACGUUAGCGGCGCACGGGUGUGAAACACGUGUAUAACCUACCUAUCAUACUGGGAUAUCCUCGGAACUCCGGCUCUAACCCCGGAUAAGAUAUUGCUCCACAUGGUUCAUUAGUGAAAUUCGGUUUUGCUGUCUCGUAUCGAUGCUUCCGGGCCGCAUUGGCUAGUUGGUACGGUCAUGGCUUACCAAGGCAACGAUGCGUAGACGACGUGAGAGGGUGAUAGGCCACACUGGAGCGGAGACAGGGUCCAGACGCCUACGGGAGGCAGCAGUAGGGAAUGGUCCGCAAUGGGCGAAAGCAUGACGGAGCAACGGCGCGUGAGUGAUGAAGGUCUUCGGAGCGUAAAACUCGGUUAUGAGGGAAGAACAAAUGUGUAAGUAAAUAUGCACGGCUUGACGGUACCUGGUCAGAAAGCCACGGCUAACUACGUG
rnacentral:rRNA from 1 species